rnacentral:lncRNA from 1 species
CCCACCUGGGGUUCCGUGGCAGCCGCUGCAGGAAGCCGAAGUGUGGGCAGCCAGGUGGCCGUCCCGCAGGGGAGGCCGGCCUCCACCCCCGGGUGCCUGGGGCCCCACACAGACCCACGGUCCCCUCCCGCGGCUUACGCCUCGCGUGGCAGACAGCACACUUCGCGCCCGUCACGUGGCCGUGUCUGGGGGUCCUCACAUUGCUUUCUGGGAAGAUCAGACAGACACAGACGGCCCUUGAAGGCCGGCGGAUCCUUGAGCGACGAGCUGGUGAUUACCCGCGGGACCCAGGCCUCUUCCGGACGGGCAGGUCCACGAUCAUCGCUGUGGCAGGUCCUCUGUGCCCCGAAAACCGUAGCCAAGGCCUCCAGCCAGAAGGAAUCAUGCCGGAUGCCAACCAUGAACACAAAAUGCUUUCGGAUCGUCUAACACGCAAGGGAAUUCGGUGUGGCCCCCCGGCCACCCAACAGCUUCGUGGCUGGGUGCUGUUUUCCCCACGACGCCUUCCAGCUUUUGGUCCCUGUGAGCUGUGAGGCCAGCAGCCACGGAGCGGGCAAGACCCAGGAGGAAGGAGACACGGGCUGCAGGGAGCCUCCUCUUCCGGCCUGCAGGUCAUUGGGAACACGUCGCCCGGGGGUUCGGGACCACCACGCACCGAGGCCCCACGGCAGCCAGACCUGCCGCCCCGCCCCGACUACCGUUGUUACGUCUCACGGGCCAUCGCACGGGAGACACGUGGCACUGAAGCUGUUACCAAAUAUUCGACAGCUAAAUUUGCACUGGAGUGAUCUGCCUGCUUUUCUGUAAACACGUCACAGGGGAAGAGGAGUGAUUCCCGCCCCCCUGUGCCGCAGGCAGACUCAGCGGCCUCGUGGGGCCCCGUGGCGCCCCACGCGUCAGGGGGAAGCCCCAAAUCAGUUAGAGCUUAGUGACGGGAAGAGGUCGUCCCUUCCCACCCACAUCCACAGGCCCAGGCGUGUCCAGGAGAGAGUCCCCUCCUCCGCCGUCCCCCCUCCAGGCCCCUGUCUUUCCACGUGCCCACUGAGGUCCUGGACCAGCUCCUUGGAAGUACCUGCUCCGAGUGGCCCUCUGGACUCGCCCUUGGCCUCCAGCCAGCUGGGCCCGUGCUGGCCCGACACUCCCAUGGUCCUCCUGUCCGCACCUCUGCUCGCACCCAGCAGACCCCGCCUGCCCCAGGCAGUCCCCUCCAGCUGCUCUGCACCCCCCCCGCCCCCCUGUAACUCAUCCCACUCCUGAGCCUGGCCCCCCACUCCCC